UUGUAUUAAAGCUUAAUAUUAAGUUAUUUUAUAUUGUUUAUUUAUAAGUAGGUAUAUAGUAUACUUUACUGUUUCUCGCUGUCGCUAUUUCUUUACCUGUUUCUAUUUACUUCCGAGCAUUGACUUUAUUUCUACAGCUAUACCUACUUUCCGUUCUUCCUAUUUCUAUUUACUUAACUGCUAACUCUCUCUAACUCUCCACAUACUGUUUUUCCAUUUCCGCUAUUUCUCGUAUCAUAGUUUUAGGCCUAAUAUAAGGACAGUACAUGUGUAAUAAAGGGACACUUUUGGAAUUGUAAUCGGACGUAUGCGGUGUUCUUCCUUGAAUUCGAAUAUCACAGGCAAUUAAUUUCGCGCUUCCCUUAGUAAAGUGUUUUUAAAAAUUAAUAUCGUUAUUAUUAUAUUAAUAUACAAUAUCUUCACAAAAGAGUGAAGAAUUUUCACCCUCUCUUAGCAAUGAGCCUACAAAUGGACAAUUAGCAACAAGGCAGGCCUAAGCAGCUCCCAACUUUUAAUGGCGACCCUGAAGAAUUACCGCUGUUUAUUAGCAGUUUCGAUAACAGCGCCACUGUUGCGUGGCAUCGUGAGAUCGUAAAAAUCUUUUAGAAUAUGCUUUGGCAGACCUGAACACAUCCUUGCGUGCCUGUUCUUAAGGAUAAAUAAAAAAUAAUAAAAAAAAUUAAAGGGUCUUGGAAUUUACCCUCUGCCUCAGGAAUAUUUGUGCUACGAUGGAGGGAUAAAAAAUUCGCAUGCACCUGCAAAACCCACUACUUGUUAAGAAGUUUUUCCCCAAUAACCAAAAUCCGUGGCCCUUUCGUUCUCUUUUUAUUUCGGUUGCUUUCGUCUUUCGGAACCCAAUAGUGGGCAUUAUAUAAUGGAUCCCCUUCUUCUAUCACUUGCACAGGCUUACAGUUAUAUGGGCUUUGUCCAAUAGCAUGUAUCAUAUUAUAAACUACACCUUUCAAUACGAGGAACUCAGCUGCUCUGCCGCAACGUUCGCAGAUAUGGUUGGGUCUGCCUCAAAGGGACUUUGUAUCUCGAUUUCCUCCACGUAAAAAUUAUGUUGUUUCCCUACAUUGGUACGCCAUCUCAUAGCAGAACCAGUUUUUCGUAGUCUUCGGUAAGUUCCACCCAAUGCGCUAACAUUAAAUCCAAUACUAAACUGGUAGUGUUUGGAAUCUAUGUUUCGUUAUGCUGGACGACCUGCUGAGUCUACUCAAUAACAUUAUUCAUUUAAUAUUGUAGUAUAGUUUUUUAAUGACUAAAUAGACAUGUAUAUAUACAUAUAUAUAUGUAAAUUGGUCUUAAGAUUUCAAGUUGAAAGAAAGGGCCACAAAAUCUCGUCCUAGCUUUCAUACCAAAAGUCUUCAACUUAGGGUCCGUUUGGUAUGUCUUCAUUGUUGUUCUCUCUGCAUUCGGGUUGUUUUAAGAUGGAUGGGUGAUUAGCCCAUCGUGUCCGAUUCUGCUGGUGGGGCUGCCAGCUAAUCCUAAACAGACAUAAUAAUUUUUAAAAUAAUUUGCAGAACGUGAAGUAGGAAACACUUCGAAAAAUCUCACAUUAACAACUUUGUCAAGCACCCAAUUUUAUCUGUUGGUUGGUUCAAAUUUUAUUGAUAAAUUUUAUUAACUGAAAUACCUUUUACAGGAAAAAAUCAGACCCUUGAACGAACAUUUAAAGCAACAAUAAAAUAUUUACAUAAACCUAUAUUAGUUUGGGGAAAAAGAAAUCCAUUAUAUUCUUGGCAGAUGUCUGUAGUGCCCGAUAUCUCGUAAAGUAGCGAUCGAACGAUUUAAUGCUUGUGAUUGUUGUCAAGGUGACAUUUCGCACCAAAAUUAAAAAAUUAUUUUGCUGUUUUUUGUUUGUUCCAUUCAGUUCCGAGUUACAGGGUGUUAACAAUGGAAGUAAUUUAAGAGAAAAAUACGAUACAUCUUACAAUUUUUCUUUCAUAAAGGCGAAAGUUCAAGACAGUCCAGUGAAACUGUGAAUAGUUUAUGGUGCCGAUACUGUAACAGCUAAUUACGUGCAAUUUAGGUUUCGUCCAUUCCGCUCAGGCAUUUUUGAUGUUAAAAAAAUGUCGAUAAUAUUCAAAAUGUCAAUAAAAUCACAGAAAUAAUCGAAAUUGAUCGGCAUGUUAGUAGUCGCCACAUCGCCCAUCUAAAGAUCGACCAUUAAACUGUUUUGAACCAUUUGCGCAAUCAUUUAAUGCAAACAUAAUCUUUUUUUCUCCCAAAUUAAAAUUUUUUAAAGAAGAAAGUAUCUUCUUAAGUGUUUAGAACGGCUUUUCUCGGAACCCUGUGCUUUUUGCGGAGGGCCUUGGAAAAUAUUGUGAUCCGGAGUUUGUUGGUCAAGCUACUCGAGAAAUGCAAGAAGCUUUAGAUAUGACGUUGGAGGAGAUGAAUCUAGCUGCUCGUGAAUUACUAGCAAAGAAACAAAGUAUUGGGCGCUUUAAUGAAAAAGCAAUUCGUGAAUUAUCUCGUGGUCACGCAUAUGAUCAGUCACUCUCGCAUAAUGCAGCUGAAGAAAAAACAACCCACUUCAACGGUAACGAGCCGUUUAGGGAUACACAAAACCAACAGUGCCAAUAACUCGCAAUCGAGUAAUAAGUAACGAAAAUUCGCCAGAUCGCAAAAUAUACGGUAGAAGGAAUCACAAUGCGGAUAAUCGUAAAAGUACCAUUAGUGAUGAUAAAAAUAAUGUGCGCUCUUAUUAUUCGUAGCAGCCGAUAAAUAAUCCAAGUUGUACAAUUUAUAUUCUUAUUUGACCUAUAGAUAAAAUAAAUACGUAUGCUUUUGUUUGUCUUUCGUACUGUUAAAAUUAACGUAUUAUAGGUACAUAGUUAUAAUUAACACAUAUGCAUGCUGUUCAUGGAAAUGUACACACAUAUAUACAUAAUGAAAAUCUUAGUAAUGGAAUAAAAACCUGAAAUCAAUAUAAAUAUUCGUAUGUACAUAGAGCAAUAUGUUUCAGUUUUAUGGAAAUUACUUCUAAAAUACCAGAUAGGAAAUACAAGUAAAACAAAACAAAAUCGAUAUACCAAAUUGGUCCAAUGGUUUUUAAAAACCUACAAAUAUCAUUGACUUGACGGCUUCUGACCACUGUUUAAUUUUAAUAAAUAAUAGGUUCUUGUUAUUUGAUAAUCUUCCGUUUCUCAAAAGAGAGUUUAAUUAUUGCCCAACGGCUGAAAGUGCUUUAACAACAAUAAGAAAUACACGUAUCUAGCUUUUUUACGUGUUAUUUGUUACAUAUAAAUAUGUAAAAAAAAAUAUACUCUUUUGAACUCUUUGGCUUUAAAUGACUUACGGCCAUAUUCUCGACUUCCCGUUAAUAUUUUUUCUCUUUACACAUUUUCAUUUUCUGAAGUGUCUGCUAUGUUUAUGCCGUCCACAAAUUUAGCAGGCACUCAUUUGUCACUUCGACAACCUGUCGAUUGGAGGGAAUGAUUGAAGAAACUGCUGAGCUUAGAGGCAUUUUCGAAGCCUAAUGAACUGUUUUGAAGAGUACAGGAGCAGGAUAGGCGGUGAAAUUCAAAUUAAGUGGUACGGAGAGUUAAAUCAUAAAUAUGGCAAGCGCAAAACCCGUAGACGGAUUGCGGUCAUCAAUAGGCUGUGGACUUUAUGGAGUCUUAUACUCAUCUGUCCACAAUAUGGUUCUGAAAAAAGAUAUGCAUCUUUGAAAUAGGCGUACACAACGUUUCUCGGUUUCUUUCUCGUGAAAAUUAUGGGGUUUUCCUAUACCUCAUAGCAGAACACGAGUAUAGAAUAUUAUACCUUUUUAAUGAAUAAAAUGACAUAUGUGUAUGUAUCUUAAGCUUUCAAGUUGGAACAAAGGGCCACAAAAUGUUGUCGCCAACUUUGGGUCCGUUUUGUAUCUCUUCAUUGUUGUGCUUUCUGUAAACGGGUUGUUUUAAGAUGGGUGGGUGAUUAGCCCACCGCAUCCGUUGAUUAGUAUUAAUUUUUUUUUUAUUUAUUGAUGAUUUUUAUUAAUUGGCAUACCUUUUACAGGAAAAACAGGAAAAAAUAGAACUCUUCAGCUAACAUUUAAUAUAUCAAAUACAUACAUAUUUUUUUUUAAGAAUAAUCGAACAUGUUUUUAGCAUCUCCAGCGGCUUUCCCCGGAAGCCUGGAUGUAGUUUUAAUUCCACACCGUUUUAAAUCUAACGUGUAUAUAUUUUGACAUAUUUAUACAGGUUGUUUUUGAUUUUGACAGUUUUUUUAAUCUUUUUAUACUGUUUCUCUAGUAUUAAAUAAAUAUUUAACCAGUUGUAGAGAAAAUGAAAUGUUUGUAUCAGUAUCUUCACAUUAACAGGCGGUCGAGAAAACGGUCCUUAGUUUUAUAUAAUUGUUAGACAGAUUUUCAAACCAUGACUGUUAUUUUGUGAGAAUCUUGCAUAUAUUUAAGUAAGAAAAUUACAAUAAGAAAGUUAAAGAAGUAUAGUUUCUCGUGAAAUUAAGUGUAAUUAACCCAUACAUGCCUAUACAUAUGUACAUAUUUAUAUACGCAUUACUACUUAGGAAUACACCAAUAACUUUUUCCAUACAUACGUACAUAGAUACUUCAGCACGCAUUUCACAACAAGUAAGCUAAUACAAGGACAUACAUUUUUCCGUUUAGUGCAUUAUAAGAAGAGAAAGCCUUACUCCAAUUACAAGAUAUUCGGAUUUGAUAAAAUAAGUUAUUUUUAUUAACGUUUAAAAACACUGCUGAAUAUAAUAAAUUAAAUUUUUUAACGCAAACAGCAAGGAGAUAAAAAAAUGUGAGCACACCUACCUAAUUAUAUCUUUUGUGUUGAUGAAAGAAUACAAUUUUUUUAUUAAAUUUUAAUUUGUUGCUUUAAAGGCAUUUCAUAUAGACAAGUGGUUCAAUUUAGCCCCAAGAAUUACAAAAAGACAAUAACAUACCAACCAUUCUUUGAGCACCAAGUUUUAAAUAUUGUACUGUUAUGAAUCAAAAUAUUAUAUGUAUGUAUAAAUGUACGUUUGGAUAGGAAAAAAAAUCCUUUAAUAUUAUUCGAUGUACUCAUAUAAACCCUGUACUCUCGAACUAUUUUGGAAUAGACAUUUGAAUGUACAUAUAUAAGUAAUUUAUGCCGAAAAACAAAGCAGCUCCGUAUCUUCACGUAACUUCUUUGUCUCACUGUAAUGAAACUUGGUUAGACUAUGAAUAAAUACAACUAGUAAUAAAAAAUUAUGAACACAGAAAAAAUUAUCAAAAAUAUUUGAGAAAAUUAAUAUAUAUGGUGUUGAAUUCAAAUACCUUCCUAUAUCUUAAUAGUACUGCUUAGGCAGAAGCAUAGGUAGAUGAGACUUUUCUUUCAAACUAUUUUGUCUUAAUUUUUUACGGCACUUGUUUUUGUAAAUUUGCGCUUUAAAUUGUAUACACCAAAUAAAAAAAGUACUUUUGGAUAGGCAAAUAAUAAA